CCUACGGGGCGCAGCAGUGGGGAAUAUUGCACAAUGGGCGAAAGCCUGAUGCAGCGACGCCGCGUGAAGGAUGAAGUAUUUCGGUAUGUAAACUUCUAUCAGCAGGGAAGAAAAUGACGGUACCUGACUAAGAAGCCCCGGCUAACUACGUGCCAGCAGCCGCGGUAAUACGUAGGUGGCAAGCGUUAUCCGGAUUUAUUGGGUGUAAAGGGCGUGUAGGCGGGAAUGCAAGUCAGAUGUGAAAACUCAGGGCUCAACCCUGAGCCUGCAUUUGAAACUGUAUUUCUUGAGUGCUGGAGAGGCAA
rnacentral:rRNA from 1 species